AUCUAUUUCUAUUGUUAUCUCCGUCAUCCUCGCUCUCCUAUCUUCUUCAUCCUAUUUUCUCACAGGCAAAAGAAAAACCAAAGAUCUAGCACACACCCGUAAGUAACCAAUGAAAAUGUUUCAUACCAUCACCUUAAAAGGUUUAUUUUUCAUUUGCGGAUUUCAAAGAAAUCAUCCGAUGAUUUCUUUUGAAGUAGCUCUUAGUUUGUCAAAUACUCAGUUUUUAUGUAUAAGAAAUAUAAGCUCUCUUUAAUUUUAGUAUUUUAAAACGAAUGAAAAGGUGAAGAAAAUUUCAUUAACAUAGUCACUAAAAUCCCUAACAGAAAGAAAUCAAGAUUCACUUUUCUACACCACCUUCUGGAUAUGGUUUUUCAUGAAUUAAUUUCGAAACUGCUGGAAUUCGUUGAAGAGAUAUCAACGUGAUCUGGAAAGGAAGCCGCAACUCUCUUAAAAAGGUGGAGUGAAUAAUGCUUCAUCAAGUGCUGCCAUUCUUUUCUCUUGCGUAUAUGAACUGGUAAAAUUCAAUUAUAAUUCUUGUCUUCUUUUUUCAUAUUGUGCUGAUUGCUAACUAUUUAUUCAUAAAUUACCAUCUUUGUGUAUUUUUAUUGGAUUUACUUUCCUUUGUUUGGUUGCUUAUUACAACGAGAUUUCUCUUUACUUUUGAAAAACUAGUAUCAGCUGGUGUUGGUUUCCCUAUACUAGUAUCUCUUUUAAUCACCAUUAUAAGGUUCAUAAUAAGUUUCAAUGUUCAUCUACUUUUCUAUACCUUAUAUAGUUGUAUUAUCCUUGCAAUAAUAUAAUUGAAAUGGUUCUCGCAUGAUUUUGUUAGCUUUUUUUUUCCCGAAUUAUAGUUGCCUGGAAGUUUGAUGAGCAAGUUCAGUUGUUAUAUUCAAUGCAUUUUCAUGAAUUUGAAUUUAACUUAUGGUCUUAAGUUGAGGUUUAUAUAUGUCUUUCACAAAUCUAACCAGUGUGUUAUCAAAGAGAAAGGCAUUUAGUUCCACUAGUUGGGUUUUGAUUAAAGUGUAGCUGAACUAUUCGUUUUUUUUUGUAGACUAAGUCAUAAUUAUAUAUGUAAAAUAUUGAACCUAAUUCAAUCUCUGUAACAUAUUCACUGGAUACCACAAUCUUAUCUAAGCCUCUUUCUGUGUGGCUUUUGUGUUCUAAUGUACCGUCUCUCUCUGGGAGGACCAUUUGUUCGAGCUACCCAAGUGGUAUUGUACCAUCAGACUGUUAUAUUUUUUGAAGCAGUACCAUCAGAUUGUGAUCAAUGCUCUUUACUUUAUUUAAUUCUUUUACUAGAAUAAUUAAUUGUCAUCUCUCAUGUAUAUUUUUGUUGAAAUUGGAAUAAUAAGAUGUAUUAUCAAUCAUAAAUAAAAAAUAGUUUGAAUUGUUAUGUUAUAAAUAUAUGGUGGAUUUACACCACACUUACAUCACCACCUUUACAUCUCCUUCACCACCAUUAGUCUUCUUGUAACCUCCAUCUUAGUACAUGUUAAUGGCUAGUAAUGGUUGCAUGCCAUUAUCUCUAUUACUUAAUGCCAUUAACCACCCACUCUAUUGUUUGACCUAUAAAUAGAGGUCCUUAAACAAUUGUAUGAUACACAACUAAUGAGAAUUCUUAUUUUUCUUUUCUCUCUACUUUCCAUCUUUCUUUUAGUUUAUAACACGUUAUCAGCACGUUGCUCUACACCGAGCUUCGAAAUUUUUAAGAAGAAAAUCAACAAAGGAAAAUUGGUGAUAUAAGAAAAUUUUCUCUCCAACAAUUUAUUUUAGUAAUUGUUUUAUAAUUCUUUAAAUACGCUUGCACGGUUAUGCUAAUUAUUUGUUUGAUUUCUUUUUGUAUGUACUCUACUUGGAUGUACGUAUACUAUUUAUUUUUGGGUAAGUUCACCUUGGUUUGAGGUAAGUAUAUUGUAGAAUUUUUUUUUACAUCAUACGAUUACAUUGUUAUUAUUUUUUUU